AUUGAACGCUGGCGGCAGGCCUAACACAUGCAAGUCGAGCGGAUGAGAGGAGCUUGCUUCUCGAUUCAGCGGCGGACGGGUGAGUAAUGCCUAGGAAUCUGCCUGGUAGUGGGGGACAACGUUUCGAAAGGAACGCUAAUACCGCAUACGUCCUACGGGAGAAAGCAGGGGACCUUCGGGCCUUGCGCUAUCAGAUGAGCCUAGGUCGGAUUAGCUAGUUGGUGAGGUAAUAGCUCACCAAGGCGACGAUCCGUAACUGGUCUGAGAGGAUGAUCAGUCACACUGGAACUGAGACACGGUCCAGACUCCUACGGGAGGCAGCAGUGGGGAAUAUUGGACAAUGGGCGAAAGCCUGAUCUAGCCAUGCCGCGUGUGUGAAGAAGGUCUUCGGAUUGUAAAGCACUUUAAGUUGGGAGGAAGGGUUGUAGAUUAAUACUCUGCAAUUUUGACGUUACCGACAGAAUAAGCACCGGCUAACUCUGUGCCAGCAGCCGCCGUAACAC
rnacentral:rRNA from 1 species